rnacentral:rRNA from 1 species
GACGUAGGGCGCGAGCGUUGUCCGGAAUUAUUGGGCGUAAAGAGCUCGUAGGCGGCUUGUCACGUCGGGUGUGAAAGCCCGGGGCUUAACCCCGGUCUGCAUUCGAUACGGGCUAGCUAGAGUGUGGUAGGGGAGAUCGGAAUUCCUGGUGUAGCGGUGAAAUGCGCAGAUAUCAGGAGGAACACCGGUGGCGAAGGCGGAUCUCUGGGCCAUUACUGACGCUGAGGAGCGAAAGCGUGGGGAGCGAACAGG